rnacentral:rRNA from 1 species
AACGCUGGCGGCGUGCUUAACACAUGCAAGUCGAACGAGAAUCUGCGGAAAGAGGAUUCGUCCAAUUGAAGCAGAGGACAGUGGCGACGGGUGAGUAACGCGUGAGGAACCUGCCUUUCAGAGGGGGACAACAGUUGGAAACGACUGCUAAUACCGCAUGACACAUUGAGGUCGCAUGGCCUUAAUGUCAAAGAUUUAUCACUGUGAGAUGGACCCGCGUCUGAUUAGCCAGUUGGCAGGGUAACGGCCUACCAAAGCGACGAUCAGUAGCCGACCUGAGAGGGUGACCGGCCACAUUGGGACUGAGACACGGCCCAAACUCCUACGGGAGGCAGCAGUGGGGGAUAUUGCACAAUGGAGGAAACUCUGAUGCAGCGACGCCGCGUGAGUGAAGAAGUAUUUCGGUAUGUAAAGCCCUAUCAGCAGGGAAGAUAAUGACAGUACCUGACCAAGAAGCCCCGGCUAACUACGUG